AUUGAACGCUGGCGGCAGGCCUAACACAUGCAAGUCGAAUGGUAACAGGAAACAGCUUGCUGUUUCGCUGACGAGUGGCGGACGGGUGAGUAAUGUCUGGGAAACUGCCUGAUGGAGGGGGAUAACUACUGGAAACGGUAGCUAAUACCGCAUAACGUCGCAAGACCAAAGAGGGGGACCUUCGGGCCUCUUGCCAUCAGAUGUGCCCAGAUGGGAUUAGCUAGUAGGUGGGGUAACGGCUCACCUAGGCGACGAUCCCUAGCUGGUCGGAGAGGAGGACCGGCCACAGUGGAACUGAGACACGGUCCGGACUCCGACGGGAGGCAGCAGUAGGGAAUCGUCAGCAAUGGGGGAAAGCAUGACGGAGCAAUGCGGGGUGAGUGAGGAAGGUCUUCGGAUCGUAAAACUCUGUGAUGAGGGAAGAAGAAAGGUGUAAGUAACUGUGCACAUCUGGACGUUACCUGAUCAGAAAGCCACGGCUAACUACGUG
rnacentral:rRNA from 1 species